rnacentral:rRNA from 1 species
UACGAAGGGGGCUAGCGUUGCUCGGAAUCACUGGGCGUAAAGGGUGCGUAGGCGGGUCUUUAAGUCAGGGGUGAAAUCCUGGAGCUCAACUCCAGAACUGCCUUUGAUACUGAAGAUCUUGAGUUCGGGAGAGGUGAGUGGAACUGCGAGUGUAGAGGUGAAAUUCGUAGAUAUUCGCAAGAACACCAGUGGCGAAGGCGGACUCACUGGCCCGAUACUGACGCUGAGGCACGAAAGCGUGGGGA